CCUACGGGUGGCAGCAGUGGGGAAUAUUGCACAAUGGGCGAAAGCCUGACCCAGCGACGCCGCGUGAAGGAAGAAGGAUCUCGGUAUGUAAACUUCUAUUAGCAGGGAAGAAACAGACGGUACCUGACUAAGAAGCCCCGGCUAACUACGUGCCAGCAGCCGCGGCAAUAAGUAGGGGGCAAGCGUUAUCCGGAUUUACUGGGUGUAAAGGGAGCGUAGGCGGGUUAGCAAGUCAGAAGUGAAAGCCAGGGGCUCAACUUCUGGACUGCAUUUGAAACUGUUGAACUAGAUUGCAGGAGAGGUAAGUGGAAUUCCUAGUGUAGCGGUGAAAUGCGUAGAUAUUAGGAGGAACACCAGUGGCGAAGGCGGUUUACUGGACUGUAAAUGACGCUGAGGCUCGAAAGCGUGGGGAGCAAACAGGAUUAGAUACCCUAGUAGUC
rnacentral:rRNA from 1 species